rfam:Salmo salar isolate Sally breed double haploid chromosome ssa16, whole genome shotgun sequence.
AAUGCACCAAUUUGUAAGUCGCUCUGGAUAAGAGCGUCUGCUAAUUGACGUAAA